GAGUUUGAUCCUGGCUCAGAUUGAACGCUGGCGGCAUGCUUUACACAUGCAAGUCGAACGGGGUGACUUCGGUCAUCUAGUGGCGAACGGGUGAGUAACGCAUCGGAACGUACCGUGUAGUGGGGGAUAACGUAGCGAAAGUUACGCUAAUACCGCAUACGCUCUUCGGAGGAAAGUGGGGGACCUUAGGGCCUCACGCUAUAUGAGCGGCCGAUGUCUGAUUAGCUAGUUGGUGGGGUAAAGGCCCACCAAGGCGACGAUCAGUAGCGGGUCUGAGAGGAUGAUCCGCCACACUGGGACUGAGACACGGCCCAGACUCCUACGGGAGGCAGCAGUGGGGAAUUUUGGACAAUGGGCGCAAGCCUGAUCCAGCCAUGCCGCGUGAGUGAAGAAGGCCUUCGGGUUGUAAAGCUCUUUUGUUGGGGAGGAAAUCGCAGGGGCUAAUACUCCCUGUGGAUGACAGUACCUGAAGAAUAAGCACCGGCUAACUACGUGCCAGCAGCCGCGGUAAUACG
rnacentral:rRNA from 1 species